rnacentral:rRNA from 1 species
CAGUAGCCGCGGGAAUACGAAGGGGGCUAGCGUUGCUCGGAAUCACUGGGCGUAAAGGGCGCGUAGGCGGACUUUUAAGUCGGAGGUGAAAGCCCAGGGCUCAACCCUGGAAUUGCCUUCGAUACUGGGAGUCUUGAGUUCGGAAGAGGUUGGUGGAACUGCGAGUGUAGAGGUGAAAUUCGUAGAUAUUCGCAAGAACACCAGUGGCGAAGGCGGCUCACUGGCUCGAAACUGACGCUGAGGCACGAAAGCGUGGGGAGCAAACAGGAUUAGAUACCCGGGUAGUCCCUGUCUCUUAUAU